rnacentral:rRNA from 1 species
GAUGAACGCUGGCGGCGUGCCUAAUACAUGCAAGUCGAGCGAACAGAUAAGGAGCUUGCUCCUUUGACGUUAGCGGCGGACGGGUGAGUAACACGUGGGUAACCUACCUAUAAGACUGGGAUAACUUCGGGAAACCGGAGCUAAUACCGGAUAACAUUUGGAACCGCAUGGUUCUAAAGUGAAAGAUGGUUUUGCUAUCACUUAUCGAUGGACCCGCGCCGUAUUAGCUAGUUGGUAAGGUAACGGCUUACCAAGGCGACGAUACGUAGCCGACCUGAGAGGGUGAUCGGCCACACUGGAACUGAGACACGGUCCAGACUCCUACGGGAGGCAGCAGUAGGGAAUCUUCCGCAAUGGGCGAAAGCCUGACGGAGCAACGCCGCGUGAGUGAUGAAGGGUUUCGGCUCGUAAAACUCUGUUAUUAGGGAAGAACAAAUGUGUAAGUAACUGUGCACGUCUUGACGGUACCUAAUCAGAAAGCCACGGCUAACUACGUG